UAAUACAUGCAAGUCGAGCGAACAGACGAGGAGCUUGCUCCUCUGACGUUAGCGGCGGACGGGUGAGUAACACGUGGAUAACCUACCUAUAAGACUGGGAUAACUUCGGGAAACCGGAGCUAAUACCGGAUAAUAUAUUGAACCGCAUGGUUCAAUAGUGAAAGACGGUUUUGCUGUCACUUAUAGAUGGAUCCGCGCCGCAUUAGCUAGUUGGUAAGGUAACGGCUUACCAAGGCAACGAUGCGUAGCCGACCUGAGAGGGUGAUCGGCCACACUGGAGCUGAGACACGGUCCAGACUCCUACGGGAGGCAGCAGUAGGGAAUCUUCCGCAAUGGGCGAAAGCCUGACGGAGCAACGCCGCGUGAAUGAUGAAGGUCUUCGGAUCGUAAAACUCUGUUAUUAGGGAAGAACAAAUGUGUAAGUAACUAUGCACGUCUUGACGGUACCUAAUCAGAAAGCCACGGCUAACUACGUGCCAGCAGCCGCGGUAAUACGUAGGUGGCAAGCGUUAUCCGGAAUUAUUGGGCGUAAAGCGCGCGUAGGCGGUUUUUUAAGUCUGAUGUGAAAGCCCAUGGCUCAACCGUGGAGGGUCAUUGGAAACUGGAAAACUUGAGUGCAGAAGAGGAAAGUGGAAUUCCAUGUGUAGCGGUGAAAUGCGCAGAGAUAUGGAGGAACACCAGUGGCGAA
rnacentral:rRNA from 1 species